rnacentral:rRNA from 1 species
AUGGGAAGUGCAGGUUUAGAGCAAACAAAGGCACGCUUGCACAUCAAUUGUGCACAACCAGCGACAAGAACCUGGCAGAGGAAAUUUGAUGAUGAAGGCAAGAAGAUCGAACAGUUUAGCAUGACCAUGAAUGACAUGAUAUCAAUCAUACCUCUGAUUCUCAAGGGACUGAUGGUAAAUGCCGAUCAAAUGGGAAAAGGCGGGGAUAUACAAUAUGACCCAUUCAGGAAAUGGAUGGACAACUGCUACCGUGGCCUACCCAUUGGUGGCCUUGGUGCAGGAAGCAUUGGGAGAAGCUACAGAGGAUACUUUCAGCAUUUUCAGAUAUUCCCAGCGUUAUAUGAAGAAAAACCUAUCCUUGCAAACCAAUUUUCAGCGUUCGUCUCGCGUCCCAACGGAAAGAGCUACUCGACGGUGUUGUCUGCGCCGACUGCUGAUGCCCUCAAGGGAGUCGAUAAGGCCACUAUUGGAUCUUGGGACUGGAAGCUUAAGGAGAAAAACUGUACUUAUCAUGCCUUGUUUCCAAGAUCUUGGACAGUUUAUGAUGGUGAGCCUGACCCUGAAAUCAAGAUCACCUGCCGUCAGAUAUCGCCGAUCAUCCCUCACAACUACAAGGAGAGCAGCUUCCCUGUUGCAGUUUUCACUUUUACGGUGCAAAAUUCUGGGAGAACACCUGCAGAUGUAACAUUGCUCUUCACAUGGGCUAAUUCAGUUGGUGGGAGAUCAGAGCUGACUGGAAAUCACACCAACUCCAAGAUGAUGUAA